GUGCACCAGGCGCGAAACCUUCGCAAUGCGGGAAACCGCGACGAGGGGACUCCCAGUGCCUACGCUCAGCGUAGGCUGUUCCCGAGCCUAGAAAGCUCGGGGAGUAAGGGCUGGGUAAGACGGGUGCCAGCCGCCGCGGUAAUACCCGCAGCCCGAGUGGUGGCCACUAUUAUUGGGCCUAAAGCGUCCGUAGCCGGCCCGGUAAAUGCCUGGGUAAAUCGUGAGGCCUAACCUCACGAAUUCCGGGUAGACUGCCGGGCUAGGGACCGGAGGAGGGAGAGGGUACUCCAGGGGUAGGGGUGAAAUCCUGUAAUCCCUGGAGGACCACCGGUGGCGAAGGCGCUCUCCUAGGACGGGUCCGACGGUGAGGGACGAAAGCCAGGGGAGCGAACCGGAUUAGAUACCCCUGUAGU
rnacentral:rRNA from 1 species